UACGUAGGUGGCAAGCGUUGUCCGGAUUUACUGGGUGUAAAGGGCGUGUAGCCGGGUUGACAAGUCAGAUGUGAAAUCCUGCGGCUUAACCGCAGAACUGCAUUUGAAACUGUUGAUCUUGAGUACUGGAGAGGCAGACGGAAUUCCUAGUGUAGCGGUGAAAUGCGUAGAUAUUAGGAGGAACACCAGUGGCGAAGGCGGCCUGCUGGGCUUUAACUGACGACUGGAGGGCUCGAAAGUAUGGG
rnacentral:rRNA from 1 species